CACAGCGUGACCACGUGACCUGCAGCUUUUAACUUUCGAUUUCUCCGGAGCAGAAGACUUUGUGGCGCAGCGGAGAUAAACCUGAUUCGUGCAGACGUCAUGCUGUCCCUCUGUUUCAAGAACGAACCUCCAAAGGUUUUCAGAAAGGGCAAACCCAUCGAUGAUGAAAUGAACAAUGAAACAGAGCGUCCGGACUUCUGAAGAUGGAAAUGAAGCUCAUCUCCAUGGAAACAGUCCAAAAAGUGUUAAAGUGUUGUUUCAGAUGUUUGGAUCGCUCUAUUUUACUCCCGUUCUACUAAAAUGUGACAAAAUGAAAUAAAAAUGACACAAACUGUCUCUGUUUUCUUUCUUGUAUUUGUGCAAAGGAGCAAAUACUCAAGUACAUUUGUCCACGUACAAAAUACAUUUAAGUAACACCACUGUGCUUUUCACACCCCAC
ensembl:lncRNA